rnacentral:rRNA from 1 species
AAUGAACGCUGGCGGCAGGCCUAACACAUGCAAGUCGAGCGGAGCGGCGGACGGGUGAGUAAUGCCGAGGAAUCUGCCUGGUAGCGGGGGAUAACGUCCGGAAACGGGCGAUAAUACCGCAUACUAUCAGACGAGUCUAGGUCGGAUGGGCUAGUUGGUGGGGUAAAGGCCAACCAAGGCGAAGAUCCGUCACUGGUAUGAGAGGAUGAUCAGUCACACUGGAACUGAGACACGGUCCAGACUCCUACGGUAGGCAGCAGUGGGGAAUAUUGGACAAUGGGCGAAAGCCUGAUCCAGCCAGGCCGCGUGUGUGAAGAAGGACUUCGGAUUGUAAAGCACUUUAAGUUGGGAGGCGUUACCCGCAGAAGAAGCACCGGCUAACUCCGUGCCAGCAGCCGCGGUAAUAC